UUCUAUUUAGAAUGGAGGCUUCUUUUGUGCACCAUUCAUUUUCAGCAAACAAGCAUGGCCUUAGAGGAUAAAGAUAAGUCAGCUCUUGCAAUUUAAGUACUUACAACUACCCAAAUUCAAUGACGAAGCAAGGACAACCCAGGCAUACUAAGCCAAUUCUUCAACAUCAUAAAUCCACAAAAGAAGCCUCCAUUCUAAAUAGAAUAAUGUGCUCCAUAAGAUCGAGAACUAUCUCUAACGAUAUAUCUACAUCAGUUUUUUUU
rnacentral:misc_RNA from 1 species